rnacentral:rRNA from 1 species
AGCGAACGCUGGCGGCAGGCUUAACACAUGCAAGUCGAACGGACCCUUCGGGGUUAGUGGCGGACGGGUGAGUAACACGUGGGAACGUGCCUUUAGGUUCGGAACAACACAGGGAAACUUGUGCUAAUAGCGGAUGUGCCCGUCGGGGGAAAGAUUUAUCGCCUUUAGAGCGGCCCGCGUCUGAUUAGCUAGUUGGUGAGGUAAAGGCCUACCAAGGCGACGAUCAGUAGCUGGUCUGUGGGGAUGGCCAGGCACAUUGGGACUAGCGACACGGCCCAGACUGCGACGGGAGGCAGCAGUGGGGAAUCUUGCGCAAUGGGCGAAAGCAUGACGCAGCCAUGCAGCGUGGAUGAUGAAGGUCUUAGGAUUGUAAAAUCCUUUCACCGGGGAAGAUAAUGACGGUACCCGGAGAAGAAGCCCCGGCUAACUUCGUGCCAGCAGCCGCCGUAA